rnacentral:rRNA from 1 species
AAUAUAUUUUAUUUUAGUAAUUUAAUUUUUUAUUUCUUUUAUUUACAUGUAAACUUUUAUAUAAAUGAUUUUAAUAAUUUCUAGACAGUAAUUAUAGUUAUUUUUUAAUGAAAAUUAGAAAUAUAAAUUGAUUUUAAGCUUGACAAAUUUUGUGCCAGCAGUUGCGGUUAUACAAUUAAGCUAAUAUAAUUUUAAAAAUAAAUUAAUUAUUCUUUCAUUCAAGAUUAGAGUUAAAGAAUAAAAGGUAAAAUUUAAUUCUUUAAAAGUAAUUCAUGAUCAAUAAUUAAGAAACUAAGAAUAUAAAUCAGGAUUAGAUACCCUGUUAUUGGAAUGUAAAUUUAUUGGAGUAGUAGAAGCUAAGAUCUUGAAACUCAAAAAAUUUGGCGGUAUUUUAUCUUAUUAGAGGAACCUGUUUAUUAAUUGAUAUUCCACAACUUAAAUCUACUUUUACGAAAUUAUUUGUAUACCGCUGUCAUGAAUCUAUUUAAAAGUUUAUUUUCAAAGUUUUUUAUGUAAGUUAUGUUAGGUCAAGGUGUAGUAUGUAAAUGAUCAAAAUGGGUUACAUUAUUUAAUAUGAAUGAAUUAUUUUGCUGAGACAAAUUAUGAAAUAGGAUUUAUAAGUAAAAGAAUUAUUAAAGAUUUUGUAUGAAUAAAGAUUCUAAAAUAUGUACACAUUGCCCGUCGCUCUUGUUUAAAAUAAGAUAAGUCGUAACAUAGUAGAUGUACUGGAAAGUGCCUCUGGAAUUAU